rnacentral:lncRNA from 1 species
AAAAAUUCAGUAAUUCCAUCCCAAAUUCAGAAAAUCAUAUUACAAAAACAUUCUUUUUUUCCACUAGGUGAACUGUAGAAAUAAACUUAUAAACCCCAUCAUCAUAGACAGGAUCAUCUCCCCAAAACGCUAGCUAGCAUGCCAAACCACACAAGAUCCUACAGGCCCUGAAACUAUCCUACGAAAUCAACAUCACCAAACAAGAUCUAAUGCCUUCUUGAAACUAGCUCGAGCAGAGCCUAGUAGGCAAAGCGGAGCAGAGCAGAAGUGGCAAAGCGGGGGCGGGGGCAGAGGAGAAGAUGGCACGCAGUAAUCCGGUGGGAAGGCACCCAACGGCCGGACGAGGUGAGCGGACGAUGGCGGCUCCGGUGGGAAGAACUCCGACGACGACGCCGAGGUUGCUGACGUUAUCUCUCCAGGAUGACCGGAGCACUCCGGUCGCCCCCGACAGGACACAACGACGUGCGAGGAACGAGCCGGACGCGAAGCUUCG